rnacentral:rRNA from 1 species
AUGGGCUCCUUCACCGAGAACGCUCGCAACAUGCCGUACCUCGAUGAUGGCAGCUUCCGCUUCUUGACGCGCAUGCUCGAGCGCUCGGGCCUCGGCGACCAGACGUACCUCCACCCUUCCUUGCACAAUAUCCCGCCGCGCUGCAGCCUGAGCGACAGCCGCGACGAGGCGGAGCAGGUCAUCUUUGCAGCCAUCGACGACCUGCUCGCCAAGACGGGCAUAAGUCCCGGAGCGAUCGACAUCAUCGUCACCAACUGCACCGCCUUCAACCCGACGCCGAGCUUCACCGACAUGAUUAUAAACAAGUACAAGCUCCGAAGCGACAUCCGGGACGCCCACAUCUCCGGGAUGGGGUGCAGCGCGGGGGUGAUCUCCAUGGAGGUCGCGAGGAACCUCCUGCGGGCGGCGCCGCGUGGCGCGCACGCCCUGGUGGUGUCCACGGAGACCACCUCGCUCAUCAACUACACGGGGAAGAACCGCGCGAUGCUGCUGCCAGCCGUCCUGUUCCGCAUGGGCGCGGCCGCGGUGCUGCUGUCGACGUCCAAGUCUACGUCCCGGUUCAGGCUCACGCACGUCGUGCGGACGCUCACCGCCGCGCAGGACAGAGCUUACCGGUGCGCGUACCAGGAGGAGGACGAGGAGGGACAGACGGGAAUAAACCUGUCCAAGGACCUCGUGGCUAUCGCCGGCGAGACGCUCAAGGCAAACAUCGUCGCAAUAGGGUCGCUCGUCCUCCCGCCAUCGGAGAAGCUGCUCUUUGCGCUGUCGUUCGUUGCGCGGAAGGUGCUGAACAGAAAGACCAAGCUGUAUGUCCCCGAUUUCCGCACGGCCUUCCAGCACUUCUGCAUCCAUUCUGGUGGCCGGGCAGUGAUCGACGCGGUGCAAACUAGCUUAUGCUUAUCAGACGAGGACGUCGAGCCAUCACGGAUGACGCUUCACCGGUUCGGGAACACGUCCAGCAGCUCGUUGUGGUACGAGCUUGCAUACAUCGAGGCCAAGAGGCGGACGCGCAAGGGCGACCGUGUGUGGAUGGUCGGGUUCGGCUCUGGGUUCAAGUGCAACAGCGCCGUGUGGGAGUGCAUCAGGUCGCCCAGCAACAGCCCUAUUGGCGCGCCAUGGGCUGAUUCCAUCCAUCAUUAUCCUGUAUAG